UACGUCGGGUGCGAGCGUUAAUCGGAAUUACUGGGCGUAAAGUGUGCGCAGGCGGCCGCGCAAGUCGAGUGUGAAAUCCCCGAGCUUAACUUGGGAAUUGCGCUCGAAACUACGUGGCUGGAGUGUGGCAGAGGAAGGUGGAAUUCCACGUGUAGCGGUGAAAUGCGUAGAGAUGUGGAGGAACACCGAUGGCGAAGGCAGCCUUCUGGGCCAACACUGACGCUCAUGCACGAAAGCGUGGGGAGCAAACAGG
rnacentral:rRNA from 1 species